GUUCACCUCGCCAGAAUUUUCCUUUGACAAGUGAUUCUGAGGCCGGCUGGGGAGAAGGGAAUUUUGGCAAAGACCAUUGUGAAUAAAAGUUUUAUCUUCUCUGCUUUCUUUCCUCAGCCUCCGUCAAUCAUGUUCUCAUUCAUUCGCCAAACUGCAAGCCUGUCUUCGAGUGAAUCACACUAUAACAGCCGUCGUUUUCCCUGCCAGUGCACGAGUGUGAGUCGAAGCGUACUGUUGUGACCUGGCGAGAGACAGAGUGGGAUAUUGAAAUCUGGAGACAGGUCAGGGAUUUCCCCUCCAUUCUUUUCGGGUCUUCAUUUAGAGGCAUCGUAAAUUUCGCUUACAAACAUUAUCAAGAACGGGACAGCACAUUAAUCUAGAACAGUGCUUCAUCCAUGGCCCACUUACGUGUGUACCGAGGUGCGUCCGCCCGUCAGCUGUAACACUGGCCACCGCAGGAGGCCCGUGAAAUGUGGCCAUGGUUCUCGGUGGCUUUAAUGCUGUUACGAGGAGGCAGAAACAGGGCCGCCCCCGGGGCCUCCAGGGCCCAGUAAGCCGGUGGCAGGUCCACUUCAUCACCUCUCCUCUGAAUGAACUCUGGCUGAACCUCUCCGCCACGGUUAUUUUCGCUGGCAUCUGCCGCUCCAUGGCCGCUGACAUGAGAAAGAGACACCUCUUGGCACUUAUUCAGCACCGGUUCAAAAGAACGAUACUCCAAAUCUAUUCUUCCCACGGAAGAAGACGACCUCAGAAACCAC
ensembl:lncRNA